UGGGGAAUUUUGCCCAAUGGGCGCAAGCCUGAGGCAGCAACGCCGCGUGAGUGAUGACGCCCUUCGGGGUGUAAAGCUCUGUCGAACGGGACGAAGGCCCUGGGGUGAAGAGCCUGAGGGGAUGACGGUACCGUUGGAGGAAGCCCCGGCUAACUCCGUGCCAGCAGCCGCGGUAAGACGGAGGGGGCAAGCGUUGUUCGGAAUUAUUGGGCGUAAAGCGCCCGUAGGUGGUGCAGCAAGUGGCACGUGAAAGCCCCUGGCUUAACUGGGGAAGGGCGUGGUAGACUGCUGGACUUGAGUGCCGGAGGGGGAGGCGGAAUUCCUGGUGGAGCGGUGAAAUGCGUAGAGAUCAGGAAGAACGUCAGUGGCGAAGGCGGCCUCCUGGACGGACACUGACACUGAGGGGCGACAGCGUGGGGAGCGAACGGG
rnacentral:rRNA from 1 species